GGCUCGAUGGCGGACGGUCCGCGCUUGCCUCCAGUGGGUCUUUUGAAAAUGUUACUGCAGGUUGAGUCCGUUCGACUCGGGCUCGAGCCA